AGGACGACGCUGGCGGCGUGCCUAACACAUGCAAGUCGAGCGGGUUGAAGCGAGGGGUAACUCGAGUUUCUACCUAGCGGCGGACGGGUGAGUAACGCGUGGGCAACCUGCCUCAAGGACUGGGAUAACAGCUCGAAAGGGCUGCUAAUACCGGAUAAGCCUAUGGCCUCGCAUGGGGCCAUGAGCAAAGGGGAAACCCGCCUUGAGAUGGGCCCGCGUCCCAUCAGCUAGUUGGUGAGGUGAAGGCUCACCAAGGCGACGACGGGUAGCCGGCCUGAGAGGGUGACCGGCCACACUGGGACUGAGACACGGCCCAGACUCCUACGGGGGGCAGCAGUGGGGAAUCUUGCACAAUGGGCGAAAGCCUGAUGCAGCGACGCCGCGUGAGCGAAGAAGGCCUUCGGGUUGUAAAGCUCUGUCUGGAGGGACGAAGGAAGUGACGGUACCUCCGGAGGAAGCCACGGCUAACUACGUG
rnacentral:rRNA from 1 species